rnacentral:rRNA from 1 species
UACGUAGGGUCCGAGCGUUGUCCGGAGUUACUGGGCGUAAAGCGCGCGCAGGCGGCCCGGCAAGCAUGGCGUGAAAGCCCCCGGCCUAACCGGGGAGAGUCGUCGUGGACUGCCGGGCUUGAGGGCGGUAGGGGUUGGUGGAAUUCCCGGUGUAGUGGUGAAAUGCGUAGAGAUCGGAAAGAACACCAACGGCGAAAGCACUCUGCUGGGCCGACACUGACACUGAGAGACGAAAGCUAGGGGAGCGAAUGGG